rnacentral:rRNA from 1 species
CUCCCAGACUCCUACGGGAGGCAGCAGUGGGGAAUAUUGCACAAUGGGCGAAAGCCUGAUGCAGCGACGCCGCGUGAGUGAAGAAGUAUUUCGGUAUGUAAAGCUCUAUCAGCAGGGAAGAAAAUGACGGUACCUGACUAAGAAGCCCCGGCUAACUACGUGCCAGCAGCCGCGGUAAUACGUAGGGGGCAAGCGUUAUCCGGAUUUACUGGGUGUAAAGGGAGCGUAGACGGCAGUGCAAGUCUGAAGUGAAAGCCCCGGGCUUAACCCGGGAAUUGCUUUGGAAACUGUACGGCUGGAGUGCUGGAGAGGUAAGCGGAAUUCCUAGUGUAGCGGUGAAAUGCGUAGAUAUUAGGAGGAACACCAGUGGCGAAGGCGGCUUACUGGACAGUAACUGACGUUGAGGCUCGAAAGCGUGGGGAGCAAACAGGAUUAGAUACCCCUGUA